ACCUGUACUGUACUGGGGGCACUCCCCCAACCUUUGUGUUUUUAAAAGUUUUCUUUUUUAUUGUGAACUUAGCUACAGAAAACAUUAACAUUCCUAGCUACGAAGACCAGAAAAUAAUUGUUUUAAGAAACUGAACUGGACGUUGUUAAGAAACAUAUGUCAGCAGGCAGAGGGAGUCAGAAGCAGAACGCAAGACGGAACCAGAAGUCCCGGGAUUAGAAGGAAAGAUAGACCAAAAAAAAAAAAAA